ensembl:lncRNA LOC120097843 uncharacterized LOC120097843
UGCAGGCCGGGCUCCCUCCUCCCCUGGCGGGUGGCGGGGGAGGGGAGGGGGCUUGAGGCCAGAGGGAAAGGUGGUACCAAUCCUCCAGUUCCAGAGCUACAAAGCUGAUCCAGGCCUCGUUGGGGGACGCCUAAACGCCCUUCUAAAGACCUGGGGUGUCAUCACCACACCACCCCCGGGCACACGGAGCCUGGCUCGGUGUAUCGCAUUCCCCUUCCUCCCCCGGAGCAUCUGGCGGAGCUGGGGGAAAGGCAAGAGAAAGCCAUCAAGGAGGAUGCUGUAGCUGCUGCUGCCUGAAGUCUUUGGCUCCUGUAGUUCAUGAGGCCUCCCUCAAUAGGCCUCCGGAUUAGGUUACCCGGGCCGGGCGAUGACUUUUACUGGAUACGAGAAUAGCACAGGUAAAGCUGUAUAAACAGUUCCCGGCUGCGAAGCAGGAGGGUUAUGCCGGGGACACAGUCCCAAGGCGCCACCAACCAGCCUGGCUUGAGCACACGAAAACGGCUGGGGAGACCGCUUUGCCACAGCGACCCGGACCUCACAGAACAAAGCACACGCGACGGAGGUGGUGACGGAGGAACCCAAGCCUAGGGUGGGAAGAGAAAGAACUAAUCCAGAAAGAAGAAGGUGUGCGCUUUCUAGCUACGCCUGGAGGAGCCUAGGAAAGAGCCAGA